rnacentral:rRNA from 1 species
AACGUAGGAGACAAACGUUAUCCGGAGUUACUGGGCGUAAAGGGCUCGUAGGCGGCCAACUAAGUCAGACGUGAAAUCCCUCAGCUUAACUGGGGAACUGCGUCUGAUACUGGAUGGCUUGGAUCCGGGAGAGGGAUGCGGAAUUCCAGGUGUAGCGGUGAAAUGCGUAGAUAUCUGGAGGAACACCGGUGGCGAAGGCGGCAUCCUGGACCGGUAUUGACGCUGAGGAGCGAAAGCCAGGGGAGCAAACGGG